rnacentral:rRNA from 1 species
UCAGACGAUGCGUCAUGCAUAUCAAUAAGCGGAGGAAAAGAAACUAACUAGGAUUCCCUCAGUAACGGCGAGUGAAGCGGGAAGAGCUCAAAUUUGAAAUCCUGCAAGGUUCUACCUUUCACGAAUUGUAGUUUAAAGAAGUGUUUUCUGUUGGAGUUUUGGUAAAAGUUCUUUGGAAUAGGACAUCAUAGAGGGUGAGAAUCCCGUAUUUGACCAUUAUUUCCAGCUUUGUGAUACACUUUCAAAGAGUCGGAUUGUUUGGGAAUGCAGUCCAAAAUGGGUGGUAAAUUUCAUCUAAAGCUAAAUAUUGGCGGGAGACCGAUAGCGAACAAGUACCGUGAGGGAAAGAUGAAAAGAACUUUGAAAAGAGAGUUAAACAGUACGUGAAAUUGUCAAAAGGGAAGCGUUUGACACCAGUGUUGUUUUCUCGAAAAUCAAUUAGAAAAGGCAGGAUUUUGUGUUGUAUUGACUUUAUCAGCUUUCUGCACUCUUUUCUUGUCUUUUUUUAAUGCACUUUUCGUUUAACAAGUCAACAUCAAUUUCUUUUGUUGUAAAAGGGUCAUUGGAAGGUGGCUUUCUUUUCGGAGAAAGUGUUUAUAGCCUUUGGCCUCUGCAAUCGGAGAGAUUGAGGUCUGCAGCGUAGAUCCUUCGGGGUUAGAUACAUUUGUGCUAAGUUAUAGCCUUUCAUAGACAACUUGUUGACUAUGAUCAGUCAUGUAGCUUACUCGCUUAUGCUAUUUUACCUACGCUUAGGAUGUUGAUCUACAGAGCGAGAGU